UACAGAGGUCUCAAGCGUUGUUCGGAUUCAUUGGGCGUAAAGGGUGCGUAGGUGGCCGCGUAAGUCGAUUGUGAAAUCCCUGGGCUCAACCUGGGAAUUGCAGUCGAUACUGCGGGGGUCGAGUUCGGUAGAGGGCAGCAGAAUUCCCGGUGUAGCGGUGAAAUGAGUAGAUAUCGGGAGGAAUACCGAUGGCGAAGGCAACUGCCUGGGACUGAACUGACACUGUGACACGAAAGCGUGGGUAGCAAACAGG
rnacentral:rRNA from 1 species